rnacentral:rRNA from 1 species
GCGUGGCGGGACGCCUUCACGUGCGAGUCGAGCGGUAGACUAGAGAGCCUUUACCCCACCUACUAACCAACGGACGGGGACUAACGGAGGCGUCAGGCUGGUGGAGGCGACAUUGCUGGAUCGGUCGUGCGACCGAUGACGUCUUCCAGGAGAGUCCGGACCUUCGGGCCUCUCCCCAGCCAAUACGCCCCCAUGGGAUUAUCGAGAACGAGAGAGAAAGCCUCCCCGAGCUGACGAUCGAUUUGUAGGAUGAAAGCAUGCCACGCCCCUCUGAAACUAACCCUGGUCCAACUCUUGG